rnacentral:rRNA from 1 species
AAUCAACGCUGGCGGCGUGCCUCAGACAUGCAAGUCGAACGAUUAAAGCUCUCUUCGGAGAGUGUAUAGAGUGGCGCACGGGUGAGUAACACGUAAGUAAUCUACCUUUGAGUGGGGAAUAACAGUCGGAAACGACUGCUAAUACCGCAUAAUGCAGCGGCACCGCGAGGUGACAGUUGUUAAAGGAGCAAUUCGCUUAAAGAGGAGCUUGCGGCAGAUUAGCUUGUUGGUAAGGUAACGGCUUACCAAGGCUACGAUCUGUAUCCGGUCUUAGAGGACGGUCGGACACACUGACACUGAAUAACGGGUCAGACUCCUACGGGAGGCAGCAGUCGGGAAUUUUGGGCAAUGGGCGAAAGCCUGACCCAGCAACGCCGCGUGAAGGAUGAAGUAUUCCGGUAUGUAAACUUCGAAAGAAUAGAAGAAUAAAUGACGGUACUAUUUAUAAGGUCCGGCUAACUACGUGCCAGCAGCCGCCGUAAC